AAGACUAUACUUUCAGGAAUCAUUUCUAUAGUUACUGACUAUAGGAAAUGUGAUUUGAAAGUGUUAUGUCUCUUUAACCAUGACGAUGAGCUGUGAUGUUUCUUUCUGAGCAUGAAUCAGAUGAAGAGGAAUGAUUUAUUCAUCUGCUCUUCAUCAUUGAUGAAUGUUCUGACUGUUUCUAACAGUUUAGAUGAAGGAAACAUGUUCAGAGUGGU